AGCGAACGCUGGCGGCAUGCCUAACACAUGCAAGUCGAACGAGACCGUCGGGUCUAGUGGCGCACGGGUGCGUAACGCGUGGGAACCUGCCCUUAGGUUCGGAAUAACUCCCCGAAAGGGGUGCUAAUACCGGAUAAUGUCUUCGGACCAAAGAUUUAUCGCCUUUGGCUGGGCCCGCGUUGGAUUAGCUAGUUGGUAGGGUAAAAGCCGACCAAGGCGACGUUCCAUAGCUGGUCGGAGAGGAUGAUCAGCCACACUGGGACUGAGACGCGGCCCAGACUCCUACGGGAGGCAGCAGUGGAGAAUAUUGGACAAGGGGCGAAAGCCUGAUACAGCAAUGCCGCGUGAGUGAUGAAGGCCUUAGGGUUGUAAAGCUCUUUUACCCGGGAUGAUAAUGACAGUACCGGGAGAAUAAGCACCGGCUAACUCCGUG
rnacentral:rRNA from 1 species